rnacentral:tRNA from 1 species
GCCUCGGUGGCUUAGUCGGUUAAGUGUCUGACUUUAGCUCAGGUCAUAAUCUUGUGGUUCGUGGGUUCGAGUCCCAUGUCAGGCU